rnacentral:lncRNA from 7 species
GUGUUUUGUACUCGUUCGGGAUUCAGGCUGUAUAUGAGUUAGUGAGGACUGAAGAGAGGAGAGUUAAACAAACAAGCAAACAAACAAACACACAGGGCAAGAAAACAGGACCCAACAGCAGACGCUGACACCCUCCCGACCUGCAGUGCAGAGUGAUUCCAAGAACCGCGCGCGACAUUCCGUGUCUCAGGAAAGAUGGUACCCACACUAAGCUCAGCCAAGAACGGCCUCCGCGCCCGCUUAAUUUUCCGAACCUGUUCUUGUGGUGCUGAUGGGGAGGGUGGCCGGGAAGAGAGGAGAGACCACUGAUCAAGUUGCUGUUUGUAUAUUGGUUGAUUGCUGUUUGCUGUUUGUUUAUUGAUUGAUUUUUUUUUAUUGGCCCCUGGCCGAGGAUGAGCUAAGAAGCCUUUUGCAUACCUUGACCUGACCUCACUUAUCCUUCCACACUUCUACACCCUUUUCCUUCCUGCGCAGGGUCCUGAGCAGGUCUAAAUCAAGCAGUGCUUAGAGCCUCCCACAACGGGCCUUCAACCAUAUUUGGAAGAAAAGAAGGAAUCCAGAGAGGAAAUGGUUACCUGUGCUUACAGGCGGUCUGCACCACAAGCGCUGACUCAGCAAGAGGGAACUCUGCGUACCCCUGUCCCGAAAGCCCCUUGAGCAAGGACGUCAGAAAGAGACUAAAAUGGAGGGACAGCCUCCGAGGGCCCUGGAGCAGGGUAACAUGAGAUCUAUGACUAUCUAGUCAUUCGCUACCUGCAUUUGAAAGCAUAUGCAUUAUUAUGGUUGUCACCAUUUAUAGUAGUAUACUUAGACGUUGUCCAUCGAAUCUGGACGCAUACUCAAUUUGAAACUAAAUAAAACCUAAAGGAACAUAGGUGACCAUGAGGGACUCCAGGGAACAUUCUCUGGGACGGAACUCUGUGAAGAGUGGAGAAGAGGCCUCUAGGAUCAAGCUAUUCAUCAUGGAUACAGCCUCAGAUCCAGGACCUCCACCCUCUGGUGCAGUAUUUCCAGGAUAUUAGUGGGGGACUGUGGACCAUUCAAGCCUUGGAACAAGUCUAGCCCAACCACUGUCUAACUUUGCUGCUGACGGAAGCCUGACCCAGCCCUGACCUCGUAGACCUUAUAGGAAUAUGUUCUCAGCUCACUGCUCCACAUUUCUGGCCCUGUGACCUCACCAAACAAACACCUGCCUAUCUCAGAGCAUUGUAUCUAUUCAUGUUGAUUUCUGUCUCUUCCUUAUUAGUCUCUUGCACAAACCAUGAACUGGAUGAAAGCAAGAACGGGAUCGUUUGGGUUCUGUGGGUGACAUCAGGACUUGACUGUGGACUUGACUUGCAUCUGGCACAGCCUGCUCGCCAGCUCCUAUUCCCUUGCCCACCUGUUCUUUGACCUUGAACGCCCAACCCCUUUUUCUUGGCAUCAGUAUCGUCCUCUCUAAGAGCAGAGAUUAGGAUUAAUAAAUCUAUGACGUGCUUGUCACAGGGACUAAUG